AUGAGUGCUUUAGAGCAGUCAAUUCGCAAGUAUGCCCUGCUCCCCGCUCGUCGCAGUCCUGGCAUCCCGCUUGUCCCCACAUGCGUCGUCUUUCUGUCUCCGCCGGUGCCACCACCACUCCUUGCUCGUUGCUGCCAGUCGAGCAAGAUGUCCGGUGCUGCGGUGGACAAGCACAAGACGCCAACGGAGGAAGAGAAUAAGAAUCCGGCGUGGGAGGAUGAGGAGGACAAGGAUCAGGCGAGAAAGGAGGUGGUUAUAGGUCUGAUACUUAGCAUGAUUUAUUUUCAGUAUUCUCUGUAG
rnacentral:rRNA from 1 species